rnacentral:ncRNA from 1 species
UUUCACAUUUGAAUUCUUUACAAUUUAAAUAAAUUGCCGUGAGAGGUAGGAAUAUCUCUCUUAUUAUAUAACUAUGUGCGGGAAAACCCUAAAGUCUUUUUAUAGAUUAUUGUGGAAACUUUUUAUAUAUAACUGCGUACACAAAACUUAAAAAUUAAAAAGAAUAGAAUCCUACGAGCUUGCGCCGUCGUAUGGUGACUUUUGCUGCUAUGUACGGCGCUAUAUAUAGCGCUAUAUAUAGCGAGGCGCAAGCUCCUCCUCCUCGUAGGGCUUACUUAUAUGCUUGCAGACUUCGUACGCAUACUUAUUUGCGGCGUAGCCGUCAGAAGUAUAGCUGUCAGAAGCAUGAAGUAUAGCAGGAACAGUAGGAUGAAAAUGGACAAUCCGCAGGAAACUAAGAAUAAUUCUAAUUUAUUUAAGGAUCCUCAGAGACUACACGUUAUACGCCCUUUAUCCAUAAUGUUGUGCAUACUUCGUCUGCCUAAAACAUAUGUUGAACAAGGGUGAAAAUAUAGUCCAGUUAUAGCUGAAAAGUUAUA